rnacentral:rRNA from 1 species
UGCCAGCAGCCGCGGUAAGACAGAGGGGGCAAGCGUUGUCCGGACUGACUGGGCGUAAAGCGCACGCAGGCGGCCUCGGGCGUCGGUGCUGAAAGCCCACCGCUUAACGGUGGGUCGCGUGCCGAUACGCCGAGGCUGGAGGGCGGGCGAGGGUGGUGGAAUUGCCGGUGUAGUGGUGAAAUGCGUAGAGAUCGGCAGGAACACCCGUGGCGAAGGCGGCCACCUAGCCCGCACCUGACGCUGAGGCGCGACAGCGUGGGGAGCGAACUGGAUUAGAUA